GUUUAUUCCAUGAAGUUAAUUACACUGUGAAUAACGAUUAUUUGGGUGGUAGGUUAAUUCAUGCGGCUAGAUACAAAUGAGGUUUAUAGAAGCAGAGGUAAGAAUGAUGCAAGAUGUUAUCCAAAUAAUAUUGAAUGGAUCAGCUCAAGUUUCUCCUGGCUUGUGAAUGAUGCUGUAAGAUGGAUGCCUUGUAGUUGCCAGGUCAUGUAAAAGGUGUCUUACAGAUGUCUUAAACUAGUCCGUCAAGAUUGCAGUCUUUAUACACCAGUGAUGAAAGGCUAUCUUUUUUCUCUGAUAGUUGAGAGGAAGCUAGUACAUCUCUAGUUAGCCUCAAGGAUCUGGCAUGAGUGAUACAACAACAAUAAGAACCAAGUACCCAGUGUACGCAGACCAUACACCCCCUACCUUGAGUGAUGGAGACGACAAAUCGGACAUGAGUAAGCUUCAGCUGUGACAUUCAAAGAUGAUGUAUACCAAGUUCAACAGCUCUGCUGAAAAGUCAUGUUCAAGGUAAGAGAUAGAAAUAUAUUUCGAGUAUCCUUGUCUCUCUUAACAAAUAAGAAAGGCAAUACAGAGACAUGUUCCAAGCAGUUUUUCCAUUUGCAAGAAAGUUUUUUUCAGGCUUUUCCUCCAAUGAAUUGGUUGAAGUGCAACACGGAUGGAUGAUACAUGUCCAAGAAUUCCUCAGAAAAGUUCUUGUGGCUUUUUUAUAUGCUGAGGCGUCAAGUAAUCUUAUCUAUGCCCAUAACAACAACAUAUCCAAUGUAAUUCCACGAGUAGGGUUUGGGAAUGCUAGAAUGUUCACAGACCUUACCGCUGCCUUUGUGGGGAUUAAUAGAGGCUGUUUAAUGAUCUUAUUUAUCUAUGCACACGCCCCGAGGAAAUUCAUGCUACUACA
rnacentral:misc_RNA from 1 species